GAUUUAGUGGUGUAGAGGUAUCAUGGGCGCUUGCCAUGCUGUUUGCGCCCGACCUGGGUUCGAUUCCCGGCUGAAUUA
rfam:Tuber melanosporum whole genome shotgun sequence assembly, scaffold_7, strain Mel28